rnacentral:ncRNA from 1 species
GUGAGUCAGGGCCUAAGAUCAGGCUGAAAGGCGUAGUCGAUGGACAACAGGUUAAUAUUCCUGUACUACCCCUUGUUGGUCUCGAGGGAUGGAGGAGGCUAGGUUAGCCGAAAGAUGGUUAUCGGUUCAAGGACGCAAGGUGACCCUUCUUUUUUCAGGGUAAGAAGGGGUAGAGAAAAUUCCUCGAGCCAAUGUCCGAGUACCAAGUGCUACAGCGCUGAAGUAACCCAUGCCAUACUCCCAGGAAAAGCUCGAAUGACCUUUAACAAAUGGGUACCUGUACCUGAAACCGACACAGGUAGGUAGGUAGAGAAUACCUAGGGGCGCAAGACAACUCUCUCUAAGGAACUCAAUAAAAUAGCCCCGUAACUUCGGGAGAAGGGGUGCCUCCUUAGGAGGUCACAAUGACCAGGCUCGGGCAACUAUUUACCAAAAACACAGGUCUCUGCAAAGUUGUAAGACCAUGUAUGGGGGUUGAUGCCUACCCAGUGUCGGAAGGUUAAGGAAGUUGGUGACCUAAUGACAGGGAAGCCAGCGACCGAAGCCCUGGUGAACGGCGGCCGUAACUAUAAUGGUCCUAAGGUAGCGAAAUUCCUUGUCGGGUAAGUUUCGACCCGCAUGAAUGGCGUAACGAUCUGGGCACUGUCUCGGAGAGAGACUCGGUGAAAUAGACAUGUCUGUGAAGAGGCGGACUACCUACACCUGGACAGAAAGACCCUAUGAAGCUUUACUGUUCCCUGGGAUUGUCUUUGGGUUCUUCUUGCGCAGCUUAGGUGGAAGGCGAAGAAGGCUCCCUCU